UACAACUCAAACAAGAAGUCAAGUCAGAGAUCAUCCAUGAAAAGCAACAAGUCAACCUUCAGAUACCUGCUGCUGCAAGUCAUCUGCAUUACACACCGUCAGAUCUCCACUGUGGAUUCGCUUUUCCUCGCCUGCAUUUCUUUAUUCAUCACAUCUGACUCAAACUCCAGAACCAGGCACCACGGUUGUUGGCCCGUCCUGUAACAUUAUCCCCACCACUUGCCGU